CGAUGUGAGGGCGACCUGGCUGUGGCAUCCCCAUUGAUCACCCCAUUGAUCACCGGGGUUGAUUCAGCUGAUCUGGCUGGCUACGCAGGUGUCCCCUUCCUCUCACACUGCUCCAUUGCAUUCCUGUACCUCCAGAAGCUAUGUGCUGGGCCAAAGAGGAUGACCUUCCCCGAUAGAGGAAAGGACUGUUCUUUGGUCAAGGGUAUAUGAGUAGCUUGCUCCCUGGCUAGAGCCUCCAAACAAGCUCUCAAGGUCCAUUUGUAGGAGACGUAGGGUAGUCAAGCUUCCAAAUGAGGUGCUACAUGUGGCAGUUUGCCUUAAAAA
ensembl:misc_RNA 7SK 7SK RNA